GACGAACGCUGGCGGCGUGCUUAACACAUGCAAGUCGAACGGAAAGGCCCUGCUUUUGUGGGGUGCUCGAGUGGCGAACGGGUGAGUAACACGUGAGUAACCUGCCCUUGACUUUGGGAUAACUUCAGGAAACUGGGGCUAAUACCGGAUAGGAGCUCCUGCUGCAUGGUGGGGGUUGGAAAGUUUCGGCGGUUGGGGAUGGACUCGCGGCUUAUCAGCUUGUUGGUGGGGUAGUGGCUUACCAAGGCUUUGACGGGUAGCCGGCCUGAGAGGGUGACCGGCCCACUGGGGGAGUGAGGACGGGCCGGGCCGCCGCGGGGGGCAGGGGGGGGGAAUUUGGAAAAAGGGGGGGGAGGCCUGAGGCCGCACCCCCGGGGGGGGGAGGAGGGCUUGCGGUUUGUAACCCGUUUCCCCUGGGGACGGAGGGGGGGGGAGGGUAGGGGAAAAAAAAGCCCCGUCUAACUACGUC
rnacentral:rRNA from 1 species